rnacentral:rRNA from 1 species
GACGAACGCUGGCGGCGUGCUUAACACAUGCAAGUCGAACGGAAAGGCCCUGCUUUUGUGGGGUGCUCGAGUGGCGAACGGGUGAGUAACACGUGAGUAACCUGCCCUUGACUUUGGGGUAACUUCAGGAAACUGGGGCUAAUACCGGAUAGGAGCUCCUGCUGCAUGGUGGGCGUUGGAAAGUUUCGGCGGUUGGGGAUGGACUCGCGGCUUAUCCGCUUGUUGGUGGGGUAGUGGAUUACCCAGGCUUUGACGGGUAGCCGGCCUGGGAGGGUGACCGGCCACCUUGGGACUGCGGUACGGCCCAGACGCCUACGGUGGGCAGCAGGGGGGAAUAUUGCACAGUGGGCCGACGCCUGAUGCAGCAGCGCCGCGUGCGUGAUGACGUCUUUUGGGUUGUAAACCGCUUUCGCCUGUGACGAAGCGUGAGUGACGGUAAUGGGUAAAGAAGCACCGGCUAACUACGUG